CGUAGGCGGCUUGGCAAGUCAGAUGUGAAAGCCCCGGGCUUAACUCGGGAAUUGCAUCUGAAACUGCUAUGCUUGAGUCCUGGAGGGGAUAGUGGAAUUCCCAGUGUAGCGGUGAAAUGCGUAGAUAUUGGGAGGAACACCUGCGGCGAAGGCGGCUAUCUGGACAGUGACUGACGCUGAGGCGCGAAAGCUAGGGGAGCGAACGGGAUUAGAUACCCCGGUAGUCCUAGCCGUAAACGAUGGGCACUUGGUGUUGGGGGUAUUGAGUCCCUCGGUGCCGGAGUUAACACGUUAAGUGCCCCGCCUGGGGAGUACGGUCGCAAGACUGAA
rnacentral:rRNA from 1 species